ACAGAAUUCAGGAAUUUCACGAUAGAAGUAGCUUUAGGCGCUUGGGCCUUGCUGUCUCUUUGGGGCGUGGCCUGUCUCCGUUUGCCAAAGGCCUUGGGCUUGCUGGGGUUGGUCGGCCUCUGCUCGGUCCUGUCGUGACAGCCACGACAGCAGGGGGAAAAAAGGCAGGUGGCCAAGUUCAUGGAGGACCUACGGUGUGCAGAGCCAGCGAAGCACCCUUUCUCGGGAUCUCCUGGUUUCGUGAGGUUCUCAGUGAAGAAACAGCCUCCCACCCCACCUGAGUCCAGCCCAUCACCUCGAGGCCCACUCCUCCGCCAGCCCGGCCACUUCCCCGGCGCAGUUAGGCCCACACUCUUAGCGUGCUGGGGCACCUUAAGGAUAGGGACCGAGUGUCACAGGACGGUAUGUUGAGGGAACGAUCCCACCCGACGUUCCCGGGAAGGCUCUGUGGGCCGGGCACCGUGCUCAGAGCUUUGCGUGCAUUAUCGGGCCCGCUUCUCGUGACGGUCGCUCCUGUUUUGUGAGUGGGGCAAACGAGAUACAGAUCCAUUGGGUUUUCCCGCAAAGUUACAUGUUAAGUGGCAGAGCCGAAAUUUGAACCCAGGUAUCGCAGGAAACCAGGUCAGAGAGUUUAAACAAUGUGCCAGAGUCAGCGAGCUAGUGACCAAGCAGCGGUUUGAACUGGUGCCAGAGGCAGAACAUAUUUUUCAAAUCAUGCAGAAGUCAUGCUGGGCAAUAGAAAUGAAAUUGUAAUGGAGGGCACAGUCAUGUAAGGACAGAUGGAAAAAGCGAACAAAAAGACAGGUAGACCUGAACACACCCACAGGCAUGCCUCCGUUUUUAUUUUAAGUGAAUAAGAGACCUGUUAGCAUGCUAGUAUAGUGUCCAGGUAAAGAAAGAACAUGGUCAAGCACAAGCACUCAGUUGAGUGCUUGAGUUUGGAUCUUGGCCCUUUUAUCACUUUGUGCUUUGGAUGCAAAUUAAUUAACUUCUGGGUGGUUGUUUUGUUGUUUGUUUGGGAGGCAGGGUUUUUUUGUUUGUUUUGUUUUCGUUUUUGCUUUUGUUUUGUGUUACUGGGGCUCAAACCCAGUGGCACUGUAUGUACUACUUACUGAGCUACAUCCCCAGUCCCUUUUAUGUUUUAUUUUUAAACAGGGCCUCUUUAAGUUGUCCAAGCUGGCCUCAAACUUGUGAUCCUCCUGCCUAAGCCUCCCAAGCCAAUGGUAUUACAGUCAUGCACCACAAUGC
rnacentral:lncRNA from 1 species